AACGAACGCUGGCGGCAGGCCUCAAACAUGCAAGUCUAGGGGGUGCAGCAAUGCAUCACCGGCGGACGGGUGCGUAACGCGUGGGAAUAUACCUAUUGGUUCGGAACAACUGCGGGAAACUGCAGCUAAUACCGAAUGUGCCCGAAAGGGGAAAGAUUUAUCGCCAAUGGAUUAGCCCGCGUAGGAUUAGCUAGUUGGUGGGGUAAUGGCCCACCAAGGCUCCGAUCCUCAGCUGUUCUGAGAGGAAGAUCAGCCACACUGGGACUGAGACACGGCCCAGACUCCUACGGGAGGCAGCAGUUGGGAAUCUUGGACAAUGGGGAAACCCUGAUCCAGCCAUGCCGCGUGAGUGAUGAA
rnacentral:rRNA from 1 species